AGGCUUGCAAUACUCCUAAAAAAAAACGCAGGAUACGGAGAGAGGAAACUGUGUUCAUAAGCUGUCAAUCGCCAGACUAGAGCACCACAACUGCAAGCACAUGCAUAGAGAAAGAAAAAUUUAUGGGCAUCAACACCGUUAGGUUAUCUAUCGGCCACCAUCAGAUCGUCGAACUGCCUCCGGUAUUUUUUGAAUUCAAAGGCAAAGGAAAUGAAGGCCUAGACAAUUCAUUGCAGAAUAGGUAUGUUCCUAAAUUCUUGGUAGAAAAUUUCCGUCAUAAUGUAUUAUAAUGAAACUCAAGUCCUUUUAGCUAAAAUAGUAUCAACAGGUUGGUAUUAUUGGCAUGCAUGAUUUAUGUUAGAAAAGCAUUAUAUUUAACAGAAGAUGAGAAAAGUCACUGUGUUUCAUGGAUGUUAAGACAUGUUUCUGUGGCAUAUCUAACAUAUUAAGUUAUUAAUAGAAACUUGAAUCAAUGUACUUCAAGUAUGAAAGAAACUGUCGGAAACAACCACCAACAGACACUGCCUAAACAACUGUUGUGUGUUUCAGCCCAAACACCAAAUAGUACUAUUACGAAAACACUUCUUACCAUAAUUACCAUGAUCUAAUUGUAUUUGAUUGAUAACUAUAAAGUCUUCAUUAUUAGGAAAUAGACAUCAUGCUUAUUGUGAUAUUAUUUGUGAACUUGCUAGGAGUUAGGAGUGAAGCUAUAUGUUUUUUAUUUUGAAUCUAUAGAAAUUGUUGAGUCUGAUUUUGAAACUCUUCCACCUUUCUUCUGAAUUGGAAGCUACAGGCUCCUCUAGCUUAUGAUUACUUAUGUGCACAAAGGUUUUGAAGUGCUGUGGAAGGAACAUUUUCUUCGAUUAUUGCUUUUUGUUGUAGAAACAUUUAUGAUAUUACCUUUUGAUAUGGUCUUCUUGGGUAAAUAUGAAGGAAAAUGUUACAUCUUUGUGGCAUUCUAACUAA